GCACGGUCCUGCUGUGGAGGGAGGGUCCAAGGGGCGCCAAGGUAGACGGCCACGCGCGCAGCAGGCGGAUGGCCGCAUUGCAUCUUAAGGCUCUCCCCAGUGAUGAAACACAUCUUCCCAUUGCACAGAGGGAGCCACUGAGGCAAACGCAGGCCUUCAAGGUCGUGCCUCCCGUCAAGGUCGGGCGGAGUUUCGCGACCUACUCUGCGCGCCGGAAAUGCAGACCGGCGUCUGCGGGCAGAGAGAGAGAGGGAGAGACCGAGGAGGAAGCCAUUUAAACAGGAGAGCCUGGCACAGCCCUACCUGUGACUUUUCUUUCACUAUCUACAUUGUCGCAGCGGCGACCUGGCUCUUAGGUCAGCACACAGGCACGAAUACGAAUGCUUCUCUGCGUGGUGGCACACGUCUGUAAUUCCAGCCCACGACUGAGGCAGAAGGAUCGUGGGUUCAGACCAACCUUGUCUUUUUUUUUUUUUUUUAACAUUUUCCAUGAUUAUAAAAUAUAUCCCAUGGUAAUUCCCUCCCCAACCUUGUCUUUUUUAAGAAAGUCUUUUCAAAAAAUAAAGAAGUGUGCAUGCGUUUUUCAA